AUUUUAUUUCUCUUUUUUUUUUCCUUGUCUUCUGGAGUUUCUCUAAUGUUUUGUUUUUUUCCCUACCCUUGGAGGCGCCAGGAAGAGGAGAAACUGAGAUGGUAGUCUAAGAUGGGCCAUUUUGCUAAAGGAAAGCAGGAUGGGCUCUGCAAAAGCAGUGUAGGGCGUUGGACAGCAAGACGGCCCAGACUGUGCGGUGCCAUGAAAACACGGGCCCUAACUUUUAUGGGCCGUCAUGAAAACAUUUGUCAAAUGUUCGAAAACGGCCGGCUACUGAAUUCUUCGUCGUCCAAGCAAAGUUUGGCUGGCCCGCUACCAUCUUCUUCUUACCGGGGCCUGGAGGCCCAGCAAUUUUGCCUCCCCGUCCGUGUACUAGA
rnacentral:lncRNA from 1 species